rnacentral:rRNA from 1 species
AGAGUUUGAUCAUGGCUCAGAUUGAACGCUGGCGGCAGGCCUAACACAUGCAAGUCGAACGGUAACAGGAAGCAGCUUGCUGCUUCGCUGACGAGUGGCGGACGGGUGAGUAAUGUCUGGGAAGCUGCCUGAUGGAGGGGGAUAACUACUGGAAACGGUAGCUAAUACCGCAUAAUGUCGCAAGACCAAAGAGGGGGACCUUCGGGCCUCUUGCCAUCGGAUGUGCCCAGAUGGGAUUAGCUUGUUGGUGGGGUAACGGCUCACCAAGGCGACGAUCCCUAGCUGGUCUGAGAGGAUGACCAGCCACACUGGAACUGAGACACGGUCCAGACUCCUACGGGAGGCAGCAGUGGGGAAUAUUGCACAAUGGGCGCAAGCCUGAUGCAGCCAUGCCGCGUGUAUGAAGAAGGCCUUCGGGUUGUAAAGUACUUUCAGCGGGGAGGAAGGGAGUAAAGUUAAUACCUUUGCUCAUUGACGUUACCCGCAGAAGAAGCACCGGCUAACUCCGUGCCAGCAGCCGCGGUAAUACGGAGGGUGCAAGCGUUAAUCGGAAUUACUGGGCGUAAAGCGCACGCAGGCGGUUUGUUAAGUCAGAUGUGAAAUCCCCGGGCUCAACCUGGGAACUGCAUCUGAUACUGGCAAGCUUGAGUCUCGUAGAGGGGGGUAGAAUUCCAGGUGUAGCGGUGAAAUGCGCAGAGAUCUGGAGGAAUACCGGUGGCGAAGGCGGCCCCCUGGACGAAGACUGACGCUCAGGUGCGAAAGCGUGGGGAGCAAACAGGAUUAGAUACCCUGGUAGUCCACGCCGUAAACGAUGUCGACUUGGAGGUUGUGCCCUUGAGGCGUGGCUUCCGGAGCUAACGCGUUAAGUCGACCGCCUGGGGAGUACGGCCGCAAGGUUAAAACUCAAAUGAAUUGACGGGGGCCCGCACAAGCGGUGGAGCAUGUGGUUUAAUUCGAUGCAACGCGAAGAACCUUACCUGGUCUUGACAUCCACGGAAGUUUUCAGAGAUGAGAAUGUGCCUUCGGGAACCGUGAGACAGGUGCUGCAUGGCUGUCGUCAGCUCGUGUUGUGAAAUGUUGGGUUAAGUCCCGCAACGAGCGCAACCCUUAUCCUUUGUUGCCAGCGGUCCGGCCGGGAACUCAAAGGAGACUGCCAGUGAUAAACUGGAGGAAGGUGGGGAUGACGUCAAGUCAUCAUGGCCCUUACGACCAGGGCUACACACGUGCUACAAUGGCGCAUACAAAGAGAAGCGACCUCGCGAGAGCAAGCGGACCUCAUAAAGUGCGUCGUAGUCCGGAUUGGAGUCUGCAACUCGACUCCAUGAAGUCGGAAUCGCUAGUAAUCGUGGAUCAGAAUGCCACGGUGAAUACGUUCCCGGGCCUUGUACACACCGCCCGUCACACCAUGGGAGUGGGUUGCAAAAGAAGUAGGUAGCUUAACCUUCGGGAGGGCGCUUACCACUUUGUGAUUCAUGACUGGGGUGAAGUCGUAACAAGGUAACCGUAGGGGAACCUGCGGUUG